ACAAAUUAUCAUCAAUGGAAGGCAAGAAAAAGUGGGAGAUGAUUCCGAGCAAGCACAAGAUGUGGUCUGCGCCGCUAUCGUCCAUUUAUUGCAUUAUUGUAAUUCAGGAUUCACUUUUCUGAAUUUGCCCACAUUGCAUUUCUCGACGUUUCCGUUGCCAAUCUCGAGAGAGGUGUGGAGAUGGGAAGAGUAUUUGCGGUGACUCUUGAAGGGAAGAUCUACAGUUGCAAGCACUGUGGGACUCAUCUUGGUCUCAACGAAGACAUCCUCUCCAAGUCUUUUCACUGCCGACACGGAAAGGCCUAUCUCUUCAAUAAAGUGGUGAACGUGACUUUUGGUGAGAAAGAGGAAAGAAUGAUGAUGACUGGAGCACACACUGUGGCUGAUUUAUUCUGUGUCCAAUGCGGUUCAAUUGUCGGAUGGAAAUACGAACUUGCUCAUGAAAAGAGUCAAAAGUACAAAGAAGGAAAAUCUGUGCUUGAGCGGUUUAAGAUUCUUGGCCCGGAUGGAAACCAUUAUUGGGUCAACCACGAAGCACAUGUUGGUGGCAGCGACACUGACGACAUCUGAAGGUAGACACACAAUCUUACCAUUGGAGGACUUGGCUGUGUUCAAAUAAAUCCUGACUAGACGGGACGAAAUGAGCCGAGCUUGUUUGAAAUGGAUUCGGUGAUGUUAAAGUUCUUUAUCCUUGGUCUGAGUCGAAGUUUUCAAAUGAUGUUAAAGUUCACUAUGUUUCAUGGUAGGUCGUAUUGACUGUUGUUAUUAUGCUUAUUAUUUUUAAUAUGAAUACACUAUAUGAUCUGAUAUUAAAUGAUAAUAGUUUAUACAAUAUAUACUAUAAUAAAUUUCAUCAUAAAA